GGAAGUAAAAGUCGUAACAAGGUCUCCGUUGGUGAACCAGCGGAGGGAUCAUUACCGAGUUUACAACUCCCAAACCCCUGUGAACAUACCUAUACGUUGCCUCGGCGGAUCAGCCCGCGCCCCGUAAAACGGGACGGCCCGCCCGAGGACCCUAAACUCUGUUUUUAGUGGAACUUCUGAGUAAAACAAACAAAUAAAUCAAAACUUUCAACAACGGAUCUCUUGGUUCUGGCAUCGAUGAAGAACGCAGCAAAAUGCGAUAAGUAAUGUGAAUUGCAGAAUUCAGUGAAUCAUCGAAUCUUUGAACGCACAUUGCGCCCGCCAGUAUUCUGGCGGGCAUGCCUGUUCGAGCGUCAUUUCAACCCUCAAGCUCAGCUUGGUGUUGGGACUCGCGGUAACCCGCGUUCCCCAAAUCGAUUGGCGGUCACGUCGAGCUUCCAUAGCGUAGUAAUCAUACACCUCGUUACUGGUAAUCGUCGCGGCCACGCCGUAAAACCCCAACUUCUGAAUGUUGACCUCGGAUCAGGUAGGAAUACCCGCUGAACUUAAGCAUAUCAAUA
rnacentral:rRNA from 1 species